UUAGUGUCUAUGUGUGUGUGAAUGUGUGCAUUCUGAGAGUUAGUGUUAUAAAAGUCUCAUUCAUUGCUACUCUUAAGUAUAAGUCUUAAAGCAUUGAGGUGCAAGUGCAAUCGAGAUGCAGACGAGAAGUAGCACAGGAAAAGCUAGAGUAUUUCCCUGUCGGCAAUGCUACAAGAUGGAGGGAAUGGGGGAGUGGCAUCGCCUGAGGCCAGGAGGUUCGAAGGGUUCAAAGGUGGAGUUGGUGAUUGGGGUGAGGCGCAGCGGGGCGCCCGUCAUCCCGGAGAUAUUAUUGAGGCUGCGUGACUUCUCAUAACCCGUGGCUACAUGAAGAUGACAAGGAUAGGUGCCACACUGCUUGUUCGUGAGCCAAUAACAUCACUGUAUCAAGACUGUAGUCCAGGAACACCACUGUCGAAUGAAAGUUUGCUGACGGUUACUUUGUGAUAAAGUGGCGGUUAGGAUUUGUUUAUUUUUUAUCUGUGUUAGCUCCUGCCACAGCAUGCAGACUCAGUAGCUGUACUUUACUGUGACUAUGUCCAGGACCACGGCCAUGAAUGGAAGUUCACUGUUGAGUACUGUGUGGUAUUGUAAUCACUAAUACAAAUACAAAUGCAAUGACUGCUUGUAGUAUGGCACUCACUGUGUGCAAAGUCAAGCUUACAGGU